CUCGUAGGUGGCCAACUAAGUCAGACGUGAAAUCCCCCGGCUUAACCGGGGAACUGCGUCUGAUACUGGAUGGCUUGAGUUUGGGAGAGGGACGCGGAAUUCCAGGUGUAGCGGUGAAAUGCGUAGAUAUCUGGAGGAACACCGGUGGCGAAGGCGGCGUCCUGGACCAACACUGACACUGAUGAGCGAAAGCCAGGGGAGCAAACG
rnacentral:rRNA from 1 species